rnacentral:rRNA from 1 species
GUGACCAGGGAUUUUAGUGCUCAUGCACUGCAUGGGCUUUUGUAAGUGCAACAGCUGGCGAAUAAGUGGUGGGCAAGACGGGUGCCAGCCGCCGCGGUAACACCUGCGCCACAAGUUGCAAUCAUAUUUAUUUGGCCUAAAGCGUUCGUAGCCGGAUAAGCAAGUCUUGGGUGAAAUCGUUGCGCUUAACAAAACGGCGUGCUUGAGAUACUACUUAUCUAGGGACCGGGAGGAGUUAGGGGUAUUCCUGAGGGAGCGGUAAAACAUGCUGCCAGGCAUCCUUGAUAUGCUGGGCGCAUUUACAUUGCUAUAAUCUCAGGAGGACCACCAGUGGCGAAGGCGCCUAACUAGAACGGGUUCGACGGUGAGGAACGAAAGCUAGGGGAGCAAACCGGAUUAGAUACCCGAGUAGUCCUAGCCGUAAACGUUGUGAACUAGAUGUUGCAUAUUCUACGUGAAUGUGCAGUGUCGGAGCGAAGACAUUAAGUUCACCGCCUGGGAAGUACGAUCGCAAGGCUGAAACUUAAAGGAAUUGGCGGGAGAGCUACAAGAGGUGCGGCGUGCGGUUUAAUCUAACUCCACGCAGAGAAUCUCACCAGCAGCGACGGCAGGAUGAAGGUCAGAUUAGAUGUCUUACCUGACGAGCCGAGAGGUAGUGCAUGGCCGUCGUCAGCUCGUGCCGUGAGGUGUCCUCUUAAGUGAGGUAACGAGCGAGACCCAUGCCCAUAAUUGCUAGCGGGUUCUUUAGAAUGACCGAGCACAUUAUGGGGACUGCUGUGGAAACACAGAGGAAGGUGUGGGCUACGAUAGGUCUGUAUGCUCCGAAUCUGCUGGGCUACACGCGCGCAACAAUGCGCCAGGACAAUGGGAUGCAACGCCGAAAGGCGAAGCUAAACCUCGAAACCUUGCCCUAGUUUAGAUUGAGGAUUUCACUCAUCGUCAUGACACCUGAAUCUCUAUAACGCGGCCGCCGAUUC